GCCGGUGUUGCUCAGUGGUCGAGCACCGCUCUUGUAAAGCGGAAUACCGAGGGUUCGAUUCCCUACUCCGGCAC
rnacentral:tRNA from 4 species